UACGAGGGGGGCGAGCGUUGUUCGGAAUUAUUGGGCGUAAAGGGUGCGUAGGCGGUUUGGUAAGUCUUAUGUGAAAUCUAUGGGCUCAACUCAUAGUCUGCAUGAGAAACUGCCGGGCUUGAGUAUGGGAGAGGUGAGUGGAAUUCCUGGUGUAGCGGUGAAAUGCGUAGAGAUUGGGAAGAACACCAGUGGCGAAGGCGGCUUCCUGGUCUGCAACUGACGCUGUGGCGCGAAAGCUAGGGGAGCAAGCGGG
rnacentral:rRNA from 1 species